UAUAUAUUUGCUAUAUAUUUUUUCUCUUUUGAAUUUGUAACAUACAAUUUUUGCUUUUGAUUCCUAACAUUUUGAUUGCGGAUUUAUUUUUUUUGUGUAAAACUUUUGGCACAAAAUUCACUCCAUACUAGAAGAGACAACUGCAGGUUGUGCAGAGGGAGACGUUCUGGUUGUAUCUGAAGUGUUUGGGUUCUACCGUCGUCACUCUGGACGUAUUUAGUCAUUUCUGACACCAUCUCAGCUGCAUUCUAAAUAAGGAUGUUUCUUGCCUUCCACUCUGAAUGCUGGGAUGGGCUAAAGCACCCCCUGCAACCCAGAAUGAUUUUUGAUGGGUCAGAAGAUGAGUGAACAUGCUGGAACCUUACUGGAAGGACAGACACCUCUUAAAGAUGAUGCAGUGACCACUGAUUUAAUGAUUGCUAACAAGAUCCUUGAGUGGAACUAUCAUGUCUUCAAAGACUGGAUUCUUGGAAUUUGUGUCCAUCACAUGAUACCUUUGAAGAUGGCUGACAUUCAUGAUGAACUGUAUUUAGUAAUGGCUAUGGUUGAGUGAAUUGAGAUUUGAAAUAUGUGCAGUGCAUAUAUGCAUUCUACAGAUGAAUGAGGUAGAAAUUGGUCCUGUUUGUCCUGUUCCUGUUAUUUUGGAUGCACAUUUAUAAAAGUUUACAAAUGGGGUGUAGGGGUGUAAAUAAAUAUUGAUCUUUAAUGUGGUUUGCAAUUGUGAUUUUACUGUGUCAAUUUUGUAAAAAAGUAUCAUUUAAUUUAAAAAUUAUAUUAUCUAUUUUAUAUAUAUAUAAUAUUGCAUUGUGAUCAGGUUUCUAGAUAGCUGUACAUUUGUCUUUGGAUCCCACUGUUCUGAUUUGUUAAAAUUUGACCGAAUGUUUAUACAAUGAUGGCAUUAUUAUAAUUAAUUUGGAGUCUAUUGUAAAACAACCCCCAUAUUGUAAUCUGUAUCAUAUCACCGCCAUAGUAACCCUUUUCUUUUGUCAGUUGUCAUGAUUUGUUUCAACUGUAAAAUAUGUGAAAAAUAAAGAUUGAAAAUAUA